CGACCGUGUGAACGACCUGACCGGAAAACAAGCAGGCAGAGCGGAGCGGAGGCAGGCAGAGGAAAGAUGGCAGCCGCGGCAGUGGCUGAGUUUCAGAGAGCACAGUCUCUUCUUGGAACAGACCGGAAUGCCUCUAUCGAUAUCUUACAUUCAAUAGUGAAGCGGGACGUCCAGGAGAGUGAUGAGGAGGCGGUGCGUGUUAAAGAGCAGAGCAUCCUGGAGCUGGGUGGGCUGCUGGCCAAGACAGGACAGGCUGCAGAGCUUGGGGGUCUGCUGAAGUAUGUACGCCCCUUCCUUAACUCCAUCUCCAAGGCCAAGGCAGCCCGGCUGGUCCGCUCCCUACUGGACCUGUUCCUGGACAUGGAAGCUGCCACGGGUCAGGAGGUAGACCUCUGCCUGGAGUGCAUAGAGUGGGCCAAGGUUGAGAAGAGAACAUUCCUCCGACAGGCGCUAGAGGCUCGUCUCAUCUCACUGUAUUUCGACACAAAGUGCUACCAGGAGGCACUACAUCUUGGCUCCCAGUUGCUGCAGGAGCUGAAGAAGAUGGACGACAAGGCCCUACUGGUGGAGGUUCAGCUGCUGGAGAGUAAGACAUACCAUGCACUCAGUAAUCUGCCUAAAGCCCGCGCCGCCCUUACAUCUGCCAGGACAACCGCCAACGCCAUCUACUGCCCACCCAAACUACAAGCAGCUUUAGACAUGCAGUCAGGGAUCAUUCACGCAGCAGAGGAGAAAGACUGGAAGACAGCUUACUCCUACUUCUACGAGGCCUUUGAGGGCUACGAUUCCAUUGACAGCCCCCGAGCCAUCACAGCCCUCAAAUACAUGCUGCUCUGCAAAAUCACGCUCAACGCUCCAGAGGAUGUCCAGGCCCUCAUCAGUGGCAAGCUAGCUCUGCGGUAUGCUGGCAGACAGACAGACUCACUGAAAUGUGUGGCACAAGCCAGCAAGAACCGGUCUCUGGCAGACUUUGAAAAGGCACUAACAGAGUACAAAGCAGAGCUGAGGGAUGACCCCAUCAUCAGCACCCAUCUCACCACUCUGUAUGACAACCUGCUGGAGCAGAACCUCAUCAGGGUCAUCGAACCUUUCUCCAGGGUCCAGAUAGCACACAUUUCCUCCCUCAUCAAACUCUCUAAGACAGAUUGUGUCUGCCUUGCAGGGAGACGUGGAGAGGAAAUUAUCACAGAUGAUCCUGGACAAGAAGUUUCACGGUAUUUUGGACCAAGGGGAAGGUGUGCUGAUUGUCUUUGAAGAGCCGGUAGUGGACAAGACAUACGAGGCGGCCCUGGAGACCAUUCAGAACAUGAGCAAAGUGGUCGACUCGCUCUACAACAAAGCCAAGAAGCUAACAUAAGAGAGAGCGAAACUAUCGGUCCUCCUGUCCGGAGUGAUGCGGGCCAGUCAGAGCUGCGCUGAUCGUUCACUUCAACCGGGAAGGGACGAGGGGAGGAGGACGAGGAGAUUACAAACACUAAACAACCCAGCAAGCAAAACAAACCAGCCGACCACCUGAAGACGACCCAACCGAACAACUAACUGACGCGGUUUACACGCCGCUCCUCCUGGUCCUCCCUCUGCUCUCCCUCCCUUCUGUCUCUUCCUUCCUAUCUGACUGGGGUUGAUCUGACGCAACGUGCUACUCCAUAUGGACAAAUUCAGGCACUGUGCCCCCUCUUUUCUUCUCCCACCACUGGUUUCUACUGUACGUAUAAUUGGACAAGCCUCCUUUCCCCCUUUUAUGUCCCGUUUCUCUCUGCGCUGGCCAUCAGGGAAUCUUGUAAAAUAACAAUAAAGAAUACAUAUACAGUA